GCCCUAAGCAAAGCUAUCGAGGAAAUGUCACCGGGAUUAUACCAACAAAUAACACCAGAACCAACUCAGCUUACACAGAUCAUACUGGACUGUUCGUCUAGUCACCUAGUGCUACCUCAAUUUUACAAUAGACUGGAAUGUAUUAGUAGAGGAUUAUGUUAUGCACUCCAUAUUGCACGUAGUACCGCCCUGGACAUUCACUACAAGUAAUGUGCUUGAAUUACUUGCCUGCAUAUCAUUGACAUUUAUCAUAACUUUAAAAUUGUUGAGUGAUUGAAACACAGUAGAAACCAUCCCGCUCUUAGUGUAUAUAGACUUCUUCUUUUAGUUUUGUAGUAAUUGUGGGACAGUGCAUAUAUAUAUGUAGUGCUGAGUAUUCAACACUACAGUUCUCCA
rnacentral:lncRNA from 1 species